rnacentral:rRNA from 1 species
UACGUAGGGGGCUAGCGUUGUCCGGAAUCAUUGGGCGUAAAGCGCGCGUAGGCGGCCCGGUAAGUCCGCUGUAAAAGUCAAAGGCUCAACCUUUGAAUGUCAGUGGAUACUGCCGGGCUAGAGUCCGGAAGAGGCGAGUGGAACUCCUGGUGUAGCGGUGGAAUGCGCCGAUAUCAGGAAGAACACCGACGGCGAAGGCAGCUCGCUGGGACGGUACUGACGCUGAGGCGCGAAAGCGUGGGGAGCGAACAGG